UACGUAGGGUGCGAGCGUUGUCCGGAAUUAUUGGGCGUAAAGGGCUCGUAGGCGGUCUGUCGCGUCGGGUGUGAAAACUCAGGGCUUAACCCUGAGCCUGCUUCCGAUACGGGCAGACUAGAGGUAUGCAGGGGAGAACGGAAUUCCUGGUGUAGCGGUGAAAUGCGCAGAUAUCAGGAGGAACACCAGUGGCGAAGGCGGUUCUCUGGGCAUUACCUGACGCUGAGGAGCGAAAGUGUGGGGAGCGAACAGG
rnacentral:rRNA from 1 species